ACACGUGAGCAACCUGCCCUAAAGUGGGGGAUAGCCUUCCGAAAGGGAGAUUAAUACCGCAUGUGGUCUUCGGAUUAAAGGUGGCUUCGGCUAUCGCUUUAGGAUGGGCUCGCGGCCUAUCAGCUUGAUGGUGAGGUAACGGCUCACCAUGGCAACGACGGGUAGCUGGUCUGAGAGGACGAUCAGCCUCACUGGAACUGAGACACGGUCCAGACACCUACGGGUGGCAGCAGUCGAGAAUCAUUCACAAUGGGGGAAACCCUGAUGGUGCAACGCCGCGUGGAGGAUGACGGCCUUCGGGUUGUAAACUCCUGUCAUCUGGGAGUAAUCCUUAUUCGUUAAUAGCGUGUAAGGUUGAUAGUACCAGAAGAGGAAGGGACGGCUAACUUCGUGCCAGCAGCCGCGGUAAUACGAAGGUCCCAAGCGUNGUUCGGAAUCACUGGGCGUAAAGCGUGCGUAGGCGGCGUGGUAAGUCAGAUGUGAAAUCUCUGGGCUCAACCCGGAAACUGCAUCCGAUACUGCCAUGCU
rnacentral:rRNA from 1 species